CGUUGAAACACUAGUCCCCGUACGAUCACCGAAGUUAAGCAACGCCUAACCUGGUCAGUACCUGGAUGGGUGACUGCUUGGGAAUAUCAGGUGCUAUAA